GACCGUGUAGCUCAGUUGGAAGAGCAUUGGGCUAGUAUUCCAAAGGUUGUUGGUUCGAAUCCCACCGUGGCCG